AUGAUGGACUACUAUUGUUUUCACAUGAUGGACUACUGUUGUUAGGGCAUGAUGGACUACUGUUGUUAGGGCAUGAUGGACUACUGUUGUUAGGGCGUGUUGGACUACUGUUGUUAGGGUGUGAUGGACUACUGUUGUUAGGGCAUGAUGGACUACUGUUGUUAGGGUGUGAUGGACUACUGUUGUUAUGUCAUGAUGGACUGCUGUUGUUAGGACAUGAUGGACAACUGUUGUUAGAACAUGUUGUACAACUGUUGUUUGGUCAUGAUGGACUACUGUUGUUAGGGCAUGAUGAACUACUGUUGUUAGGGCAUGAUGGACUACUGUUGUUAGGGCAUGAUGGACUACUGUUGUUUUCACAUGAUGGACUACUGUUGUUAGGCCAUGAUGAACUACUUUUGAAAAGGCAUGAUGAACUACUGUUGUUAGGGCAUGAUGGACUAC
rnacentral:lncRNA from 1 species